UACGGGGGGGGCAAGCGUUGUUCGGAAUUACUGGGCGUAAAGGGCUCGUAGGCGGCCAACUAAGUCAAACGUGAAAUCCCUCAGCUUAACUGGGGAACUGCGUCUGAUACUGGAUGGCUUGAGAUUGGGAGAGGGAUGCGGAAUUCCAGGUGUAGCGGUGAAAUGCGUAGAUAUCUGGAGGAACACCGGUGGCGAAGGCGGCAUCCUGGACCAACACUGACACUGAGGAGCGAAAGCCAGGGGAGCAAACGGG
rnacentral:rRNA from 1 species